rnacentral:rRNA from 1 species
AGCCUACGGGAGGCAGCAGUGGGGAAUAUUGGACAAUGGGGGGAACCCUGAUCCAGCCAUGCCGCGUGUGUGAAGAAGGCCUUAUGGUUGUAAAGCACUUUAAGCGAGGAGGAGGCUACUGAGACUAAUACUCUUGGAUAGUGGACGUUACUCGCAGAAUAAGCACCGGCUAACUCUGUGCCAGCAGCCGCGGUAAUACAGAGGGUGCGAGCGUUAAUCGGAUUUACUGGGCGUAAAGCGUGCGUAGGCGGCUUUUUAAGUUGGAUGUGAAAUCCCCGAGCUUAACUUGGGAAUUGCAUUCGAUACUGGGUAGCUAGAGUAUGGGAGAGGAUGGUAGAAUUCCAGGUGUAGCGGUGAAAUGCGUAGAGAUCUGGAGGAAUACCGAUGGCGAAGGCAGCCAUCUGGCCUAAUACUGACGCUGAGGUACGAAAGCAUGGGGAGCAAACAGGAUUAGAUACCCCAGUAGUCCC